GUUCAAGUUUUUAAGGGCACACGGUGAAUGCCUUGGCAUUAGGAGCCGAAGAAGGACGUAGGAAUCUGCGAUAAGCCUCGGGGAGUUGAUAACCGAACACUGAUCCGAGGAUGUCCGAAUGGGGAAACCCCGCUGCCUGUUAUGGGUAGUGACCCACAUCUGAACACAUAGGGUGUGUGGAGGGAACGUGGGGAAGUGAAACAUCUCAGUACCCAC
rnacentral:rRNA from 1 species